rnacentral:rRNA from 1 species
CGCAGCCGCGGUAAUUCCAGCUCCAAUAGCGUAUAUUAAAGUUGUUGCAGUUAAAAAGCUCGUAGUUGAAUUUCGGAAUCUGUCCGUCGGUCGGGCUUUAUUGUCCGUACUGGCGUGGUGGGUUCUUACCUUCUGAAUAACUAGCAUGCCAUUUACUUGGUGCGCUGGGGAAGCAGGACUAUUACCUUGAAAAAAUUAGAGUGCUCAAAGCAGGCUAGUGCCUGAAUACAUUAGCAUGGAAUAAUAAAAUAGGACGGCAUGGUUCUAUUUUGUUGGUUUCUAGGAUCACCGUA